rnacentral:rRNA from 1 species
UACGUAGGGGGGCAAGCGUUGUCCGGAUUUAUUGGGCGUAAAGCGUGCGUAGGCGGUCCCGCAAGUCCGCUGUGAAAGCCCCGAGCUUAACUUGGGAACUGCAGUGGAAACUAUGGGACUUGAAUCCGGCAGAGGGGGGUGGAAUGCCACGUGUAGCAGUGAAAUGCGUAGAGAUGUGGCGGAACACCGAUGGCGAAGGCAGCCCCCUGGGCUGAGAUUGACGCUCAGGCACGAAAGCGUGGGGAGCAAACAGGG